UACAGAGGGUGCGAGCGUUAAUCGGAAUUACUGGGCGUAAAGGGCGCGUAGGCGGUUAUAUGUGUGGGAUGUGAAAGCCCUGGGCUUAACCCGGGAAGUGCAUACCAAACUGUAUAACUGGAGUAUAUGAGAGGGUAGCGGAAUUUCCGGUGUAGCGGUGAAAUGCGUAGAGAUCGGAAGGAACGCCGAUGGCGAAGGCAGCUACCUGGCAUAAUACUGACGCUGAGGCGCGAAAGCGUGGGGAGCAAACAGG
rnacentral:rRNA from 1 species